GUUUUGUGAACCAAAUGGCGAGCCUUCUGAGACAACACGUGCAUGCCUUGUAUGUUAGAUUCAAAUACGUGCGUUUUAUUUAUCGGAAGCAUGUGUAUGUGUUAUCUCUUGUAGUGAAAUCCGAAACAGUUACCUGCGUCUACAUGUGGACUUGAUAAAACAAAGAUAUACAUAAUAUUAAGCGUACAUAUGCGGUAAUGGCGCCUAAAACAACACUGUUAAUGAGCCUUAUGACCGCAAGUUUGGUCGCAUUGACACCUCGUGCUGAAUUCAUCGAUACCAGGUGCUUUACUUGUAUUUGCAUUUCACAGAAUGAGCAAGGGUUUUACAAAGUGAACUGCAGAUCAAAUGCCCUGCUGAACGGUAGUUUGCCAGAUUUCACACAAAUAACCAAAGAUCAAGUUUAUUCACUAGACAUGUCAAACACCAGACUAAAUAAUUUGAACACUAGAACUAUGACACCUUUUGCAGAUUACAGCAACUUACAGGAACUGAUUCUGUUUGCUACUUCUAUCAAUUCAAUAAGAAAUAACAGCGCGACAAUUCAAAGCCUUACAUUUUCAGGCCUGGGAAAGUUAGAAUAUCUUAAUAUUGCGAAUAACGAUCAAUGUCCAGUAACCAGUGAAACGGAUGUAAAUGUUUUCGAGCGUUUGACAUCUCUGAAAAACUCGUUAUGUAUCAAACUAAUUUAAUUCCAAUCAAAGUCAAUACCGGUUAUCCUGGACCAAGCUUUACAAAAAUUCAGUCUUUAGAAGAAAUAUGGAUUGAUAGAUUUUCACAAGUUCCUUUUAGAGAAGAAUUUCAAAAUAUGACGCAUCUGAAAGAUAUUCGUAUAUCAGGAGACCUUAUUAGGCCAGAUUGGCAAAACCAAGAUUUCUGUAGCAUUUAUAAUAUCACAGAUUAUACUUUGGCAAACUUGAGACAUGUCUUAAAUUUAUCAAUCAUAGAAUGCGGAGUAUAUUAUAUAAAUGCAAAUGCCUUCAAAGGUAUGAUGGGGAUACGCAUGAUUGAUUUGUCGAUGAAUAUCGGGUUGGUGUUGCAACCUCUUUUCCACAGUUUUAACAGUUUACAGUCCGGAAUUGAAAUGCUUAUCGUAGACAGCCUAGCAAUGGAUGGGAUACACUCUCCCAUCGAAAUUACAACAGCAAUGUAAGCAUCGAUCAGGCAUACCAAUUUGAAGAUGAUUUCAUUAGAUAGAAACUCAAUACGCAAAAUCGAUCCUGGUGCUUUUUCGGUACUGCCGAAGAGUCUUCAACAUAUACGAAUAAGGGCAAACAAAUUUGAAUUUGGCAGUUUCCUGUUGUAUGCGCAUCAACUGCUGAAUGUUAAAACGAUUGAGGCCUCCUAUGCCCAUAUGGGACUUCAGUUCGAAGCUUUCUCCAAUGUUGAACACCCGUCUUUACAAAGCGUUGAUUCCAAAGACACAACCGCAGUAAAAGUAAAUAUCUUAUCUGGUAGGGGAUCAAACAUAAAUUCAGAAUGUCAGAAACCACGACCGUACAUUCCGCCAAUGACUAUAACUGCGUUCCUACCACCAAAGUUAGAAUAUAUCGAUGUUAGUAACAGUAAAAUUGCCACCCCUAUUUACGGUUUUUAUAUAGAUUCAAACAACUCGAUUAAAACCUUCAAUGGAUCAGGCUCACUUUUAUUUUGCUGGGACAGACCUAUUCAUGGAUUAAGUAUUGAAAAUAUUGAUCUUAGCAACAAUUUUUGUUCCUCUGUACAUGAACAAUUCUUUAGUAAUUUUCCAAAAUUAAAGCGUUUAUACCUUCAAAGGAAUUACAUUCAAUUUGUUGUGUUGAAGACAAGAUGAUAUUUCAUUCUAACUUCGAUCUUGAAUAUGUUGAUUUUUCUAUUAACAGAAUAAAUGCAAAUAAUUCUAAACAGUUUCAGAAUCAAAACAAAAUGAAAUGGCUAAAUUUAUCUACUAACAAUUUAAUUGGAUUAUAUGUACCUAUAUUUCACAUGCGGAUCUUAAAAGUGCUAGAUCUAUCGAAAAAUCGCAUAAGUACCUUGAGCAAAGAGUUACGAGCUGAUCUUGAAGCGAUUGUUUCAUCCAGGAACAACUAAACUUUAACAUUGGAUUUGACGAACAAUAUGCUUUCAUGCUCGUGUGACAACUUAGACGUGUUAGAAUGGAUUCUCGAUUAUAUGCGACCAUCGCAAUCACUUCUAGAUGUUCUGAUAUCAAACUGUUAUAACACACAAUGUGUCUUCAGGAUAUCCUAUGCCAACAAUUAUCAGUACAAAAGAGGAUUUGAUCUACCAAAUUUCUUUUCUGGAAAAGUAUUGCGCUUCAUACACUCCGUUGAUUAUUUCAUUGGUUGCAAUCCUGUUUGUUAUGUUCAACAUAAUAUUUGCUUCAAUUAUUCACCGAUUUAGAUGGAAGAUACGGUACUGGUACUAUGUUGGAUACAAUAAAGAGAUAAAACAUAAUGGAUACUCAACUAUUGAAACUUCCUUGCGAGAUUCAAUAUUCAAGUACGAUUUAUAUCUCGCCUAUGAGGAAGACGUCAACGCAUUUGUUUUGGAUACACUUAAACCGAAACUGUUGGAGCUGGACUACACAGUUUUCAUGCAUGAUGAUAUUCUAGAUGGAUUACCGCUGUACAACAUUAUUACAAGAUCGAUCCAUGCCAGCCGAGUUGUGGUGUUCGUCCUCUCAAAUGGGCCAAGGGACAGUUUGGAGUGGAAAAUAGCUGCGCACAUGACGAAUGAGGAAUCAAAUCACAGACAAAAGCCCAUGUCUGUAGCUUUUUUCUACAAUUCCGACUCAACUGUUGGCCUCCCAGAAGAACUUAAAAUGUUGCGACGCGAUGCGUUUAUUGACUAUCCUGUUAAUGGCAGUGAACAAGAAAUUACGGCUUUUUGGGAAGAUUUCAUCACCAAAUUGAAUACCAUAUAUUAAAGUUUUGGAAUGAGAAGUUUAUGCCGAUGAUAAUGUAUGGUAUUGUUAUUUUAUUACAUAUUUUAAAUGUAAUAAAACAAUGUGCGAGUAAAUUGAGCGAUU